rnacentral:lncRNA from 1 species
GCACUACAAGUGACAUGCCAACGGGCAGGUAAGAUCCUCUCAAAUGAAGGGACUGUGAAUAUUUGACUGAUAAUACAAAUAUUUACUGGAUAUUUUACAGUGAUAUUUACAAAUAUCACUGGCUAACUUUUCCCAGCUUGAUAUCCUGAAAGAGGCACAGUUUCAGUAGUAAAUGGUAAAUUUACCUUGAUUGCACUGAAGGCUAUUUCUUUAAAACUAUUUUCUUUCCUUUUGACUAUUCCAUGUAUCCUUUCAGAAGUAAACAUUCUUUUUACCCCUUUAAAAAGUCUACUUAUAACAUCUACUUAAUUUGGAAUUUAUCUAACAUUGCCAGUUUGAUAUAGAUACAGAAAUUUAAUGAGAAAAUGCAGUUCUAUAUUUAGAAUAUGGAUUCUUCAAGAUGUUUCUGACACGCAUUUGUUUUCAUUGAAACAUUAAAAAAUUAUUUAGCUAACA